rnacentral:tRNA from 2 species
GCCGGGGUGGCGGAAUUGGUAGACGCAAAGGACUUAAAAUCCUUUGGAAGCCGCGCUUCCGUGUGGGUUCGAGUCCCACCCUCGGCA